rnacentral:rRNA from 1 species
UACGGAGGAUGCGAGCGUUAUCCGGAUUUAUUGGGUUUAAAGGGUGCGUAGGUGGGGAAUUAAGUCAGUGGUGAAAGUUUGUCGCUCAACGAUAAAAUUGCUAUUGAAACUGGAGAACUUGAGUAUGUUUGAGGUAGGCGGAAUGCGUGGUGUAGCGGUGAAAUGCAUAGAUAUCACGCAGAACUCCGAUUGCGAAGGCAGCUUACUAAACCAUAACUGACACUGAAGCACGAAAGCGUGGGUAUCAAGCAGG